rnacentral:rRNA from 1 species
GAUGAACGCUAGCGGCAGGCUUAAUACAUGCAAGUCGAGGGGCAGCAUGAAGUAGCAAUACUUUGAUGGCGACCGGCAAACGGGUGCGGAACACGUACACAACCUUCCUUUAAGUGGGGAAUAGCCCAGAGAAAUUUGGAUUAAUACCCCGUAACACAACGAAGUGGCAUCACUUUGUUGUUAUAGUUCCGGCGCUUAAAGAUGGGUGUUCGUAUGAUUAGAUAGUUGGCGAGGUAACGGCUCACCAAGUCUACGAUCAUUAGCUGAUGUGAGAGCAUGAUCAGCCACACGGGCACUGAGACACGGGCCCGACUCCUACGGGAGGCAGCAGUAAGGAAUAUUGGUCAAUGGACGCAAGUCUGAACCAGCCAUGCCGCGUGAAGGAUUAAGGUCCUCUGGAUUGUAAACUUCUUUUAUAUGGGACGAAAAAAGGUCUUUCUAGACCCCUUGACGGUACCAUAUGAAUAAGCACCGGCUAACUCCGUGCCAGCCGCCGCCGUAAGAC